rnacentral:tRNA from 1 species
GCGAGCGUGACGGAACGGGUAGACGUUGCAGAUUCAAAAUCUGUUGCCGAAAGGCGUGUGGGUUCGAGUCCCACCGCUCGUACCA